rnacentral:rRNA from 1 species
GAUGAACGCUGGCGGCGUGCCUAAUACAUGCAAGUCGAGCGAACAGACGAGAAGCUUGCUCCUCUGAUGUUAGCGGCGGACGGGUGAGUAACACGUGGAUAACCUACCUAUAAGACUGGGAUAACUUCGGGAAACCGGAGCUAAUACCGGAUAAUAUGUUGAACCGCAUGGUUCAACAGUGAAAGACGGUCUUGCUGUCACUUAUAGAUGGAUCCGCGCUGCAUUAGCUAGUUGGUAAGGUAACGGCUUACCAAGGCAACGAUGCGUAGCCGACCUGAGAGGGUGAUCGGCCACACUGGAACUGAGACACGGUCCAGACUCCUACGGGAGGCAGCAGUAGGGAAUCUUCCGCAAUGGGCGAAAGCCUGACGGAGCAACGCCGCGUGAGUGAAGAAGGUCUUCGGAUCGUAAAACUCUGUUAUUAGGGAAGAACAAAUGUGUAAGUAACUGUGCACAUCUUGACGGUACCUAAUCAGAAAGCCACGGCUAACUACGUG